rnacentral:rRNA from 1 species
UACGUAGGGGGGCAAGCGUUGUCCGGAAUCAUUGGGCGUAAAGCGCACGUAGGCGGCUUUUUAAGUCAGGGGUGAAAUCCUGGAGCUCAACUCCAGAACUGCCUUUGAUACUGAGAAGCUUGAGUCCGGGAGAGGUGAGUGGAACUGCGAGUGUAGAGGUGAAAUUCGUAGAUAUUCGCAAGAACACCAGUGGCGAAGGCGGCUCACUGGCCCGGUACUGACGCUGAGGUGCGAAAGCGUGGGGAGCAAACAGG